rnacentral:piRNA from 1 species
UGAUCAUUAGAAGACAUAAUACAGCCUCCAU